rnacentral:rRNA from 1 species
GGCAGCGAGUAGAUUGCUUGCAAUCUACGUCGGCGACCGGCGCACGGGUGCGUAACGCGUAUGCAACCUACCCAUUACAGGGGGAUAACACUGAGAAAUCGGUACUAAUACCCCAUAACAUCCAGGGAGGCAUCUUCUUGGGUUGAAAACUCCGGUGGUAAUGGAUGGGCAUGCGUUGUAUUAGUUAGUUGGUGGGGUAACGGCUCACCAAGACCACGAUACAUAGGGGGACUGAGAGGUUAACCCCCCACAUUGGUACUGAGACACGGACCAAACUCCUACGGGAGGCAGCAGUGAGGAAUAUUGGUCAAUGGACGCAAGUCUGAACCAGCCAUGCCGCGUGCAGGAAGACGGCUCUAUGAGUUGUAAACUGCUUUUGUACGAGGGUAAACGCAGAUACGCGUAUCUGUCUGAAAGUAUCGUACGAAUAAGGAUCGGCUAACUCCGUGCCAGCAGCCGCGGUAAUACGGAGGAUUCAAGCGUUAUCCGGAUUUAUUGGGUUUAAAGGGUGCGUAGGCGGUCGGAUAAGUUAGAGGUGAAAUCCCGAGGCUCAACUUCGGAAUUGCCUCUGAUACUGUUUGGCUAGAGAGUAGUUGCGGUAGGCGGAAUGUAUGGUGUAGCGGUGAAAUGCUUAGAGAUCAUACAGAACACCGAUUGCGAAGGCAGCUUACCAAGCUACUUCUGACGUUGAGGCACGAAAGCGUGGGGAGCAAACAGGAUUAGAUACCCUGGUAGUCCACGCAGUAAACGAUGAUAACUCGUUGUCGGCGAUACAUUGUCGGUGACUAAGCGAAAGCGA